rnacentral:rRNA from 1 species
UACAGAGGUGGCAAGCGUUGUUCGGAAUUACUGGGCGUAAAGAGCGCGCAGGCGGUCGUUCAAGUCGCGUGUGAAAGCCCCCGGCUCAACUGGGGAGGGUCACGCGAUACUGAUCGACUCGAAGGCAGGAGAGGGAAGUGGAAUUCCCGGUGUAGCGGUGAAAUGCGCAGAUAUCGGGAGGAACACCUAUGGCGAAGGCAGCUCGCUGGGACGUUACUGACGCUGAGACGCGAAAGCGUGGGGAGCAAACAGG